UUGCAUUUAAAAACAAAAAACUUUUUUCACUGUUAUAGAUUGAAUAGCAGUCAGUGUCCUUAAAGCGGGUGUAUCAGGCUCACAGUGGAUACUGUGCCCAGUGCCACCACUCACUCACUGGUGUCACAAUAGCUUGCAUUUAAAACCAAAAAACGUUUUUCACUGUUAUAGAUUGAAUAGCAGUUAGUUGUCUCAAAGUGGG